UUCCUUGUGUUCUUCUAAUGAUUUCCUGCGUUCAUCAUUAAAGCUGACUGUUUAAAAUAUUCCUAGUUUGUGCGCCUUGCUUACGACAUGUUAUACACUUAGCUUCAAAAGAUGGAGAAAGGUGAUUUGCGAUUGUUUAUGUAAUCCUUUUUAAUAUUCAAUGCAUUGUUUCAUUUAUACUUGAAGAUUGUAGCUUGGCAACUCAAAAAACCACCAUAGCUUGCAUGUAAAUGUACUUAUUGAGAAGUUUAACCAAUUCUGGCAAAGGGUGGUUGGAGAGAAUGAUGGAGUUGCAAGGGAAUGGCACUUUUCUGCCAAAAACAGGACCGGGAAUGAGUUAAUUGACCAAUUCUGUGAUGUUGUUUUUUUCCCCCCAGAUACCCCAGGGAAGGACAAUGUGCUCCAAACACCACAACUGCUCUCCUCCCAGAGUCACCAUCAGGCAGUGCUUAUACCAAGAGCUGCUAGCUUGAGGGAGAUGAUUAUUCAUGAGAGUCAUCAAGAAGCUACAAGCCUUGUGAUUUAUAUUGUCAUGCUACCAAAACCUGAUGACACAUCCUGUUUUUUAAUGAGGUGUGGCGGAUUGAGACAGACACGACAGGUGUGGCAUCAGGCCUGUAUCACAAGAGCUCACUGGUAACACAUCUUUCCAGUGGAUGGCGAAGGGAAGAAUAAAGAUGCAGUACAAAGCGCUGGAGCUGAUGACACCCAUUACGCACUUCUAGAGCUUUUGACUCUGACUCACUCUGCUGUAAUAUCCUCUCAAACAGUAACAGAUGGUACCGACUAUUUCACUGCCUUCAGACAUGUUUGUAGAUUGUAUCCAUCCUUUCACAGAGCCACACGUUCCUGUGGAAAACAUGCCGUAUCUGUCACUACAGCUUCCUGUGUUAACGAAUUACACCCAGAAACGGAUGGGUCACAACAGACCCUUCUCUCUCAAUCUUCCUGCCC